AUGUUAGCGGCGGACGGGUGAGUAACACGUGGGUAACCUGCCUGUAAGACUGGGAUAACUCCGGGAAACCGGGGCUAAUACCGGAUGGUUGUUUGAACCGCAUGGUUCAAACAUAAAAGGUGGCUUCGGCUACCACUUACAGAUGGACCCGCGGCGCAUUAGCUAGUUGGUGAGGUAACGGCUCACCAAGGCAACGAUGCGUAGCCGACCUGAGAGGGUGAUCGGCCACACUGGGACUGAGACACGGCCCAGACUCCUACGGGAGGCAGCAGUAGGGAAUCUUCCGCAAUGGACGAAAGUCUGACGGAGCAACGCCGCGUGAGUGAUGAAGGUUUUCGGAUCGUAAAGCUCUGUUGUUAGGGAAGAACAAGUACCGUUCGAAUAGGGCGGUACCUUGACGGUACCUAACCAGAAAGCCACGGCUAACUACGUGCCAGCAGCCGCGGUAAUACGUAGGUGGCAAGCGUUGUCCGGAAUUAUUGGGCGUAAAGGGCUCGCAGGCGGUUUCUUAAGUCUGAUGUGAAAGCCCCCGGCUCAACCGGGGAGGGUCAUUGGAAACUGGGGAACUUGAGUGCAGAAGAGGAGAGUGGAAUUCCACGUGUAGCGGUGAAAUGCGUAGAGAUGUGGAGGAACACCAGUGGCGAAGGCGACUCUCUGG
rnacentral:rRNA from 1 species